GAUCCUGGCUCAGGAUGAACGCUAGCUACAGGCUUAACACAUGCAAGUCGAGGGGCAGCAUGGUCUUAGCUUGCUAAGGCCGAUAGCGACCGGCGCACGGGUGAGUAACACGUAUCCAACCUGCCGUCUACUCUUGGACAGCCUUCUGAAAAGGAAGAUUAAUACAAGAUGGCAUCAUGAGUUCGCAUGUUCACAUGAUUAAAGGUAUUCCGGUAGACGAUGGGGA
rnacentral:rRNA from 1 species